rnacentral:rRNA from 1 species
UGGGGAAUAUUGGACAAUGGGCGAAAGCCUGAUCCAGCCAUGCCGCGUGUGUGAAGAAGGUCUUCGGAUUGUAAAGCACUUUAAGUUGGGAGGAAGGGCAGUAAGCGAAUACCUUGCUGUUUUGACGUUACCGACAGAAUAAGCACCGGCUAACUCUGUGCCAGCAGCCGCGGUAAUACAGAGGGUGCAAGCGUUAAUCGGAAUUACUGGGCGUAAAGCGCGCGUAGGUGGUUCGUUAAGUUGAAUGUGAAAGCCCCGGGCUCAACCUGGGAACUGCAUCCAAAACUGGCGAGCUAGAGUAGGGCAGAGGGUGGUGGAAUUUUCUGUGUAGCGGUGAAAUGCGUGGAUAUAGGAAGGAACACCAGUGGCGAAGGCGACCACCUGGGCUCAUACUGACACUGAGGUGCGAAAGCGUGGGGAGCAAACAGG